rnacentral:rRNA from 1 species
AUUGAACGCUGGCGGCAUGCUUUACACAUGCAAGUCGAGCGGCAGCGCGGGGGCAACCCUGGCGGCGAGCGGCGAACGGGUGAGUAAUGCAUCGGAACGUAUCCUGUAGUGGGGAAUAACUCACCGAAAGGUGAGCUAAUACCGCAUAAGCUCUGAGGAGGAAAGCGGGGGACCGAAAGGGCCCUCGCGCUGCAGGAGCGGCCGAUGUCAGAUUAGGAGUUGGUGGGGUAAAGGCUCACCAAGCCAACGAUCUGUAGCUGGUCUGAGAGGACGACCAGCCACACUGGAACUGAGACACGGUCCAGAC